GCAUCCGUAGCUCAGCUGGAUAGAGUACUGCUCUCCGAAGGCAGUGGUCGUGGGUUCAAAUCCCUCCGGGUGCACCA
rnacentral:tRNA from 1 species